AACUUCUCCAGACUCACGUGACCUGGAAGGUGCUUUUCUCCGCCUCUUUCCUCUAGCGAGCUGUGAGUUUAUCUCCAUCUUAGUUCCAGGCCAUUUCUUUGGAUGCUGACUUGAAUUUCUCCCAUUCUUUAAAUGGGGAAAUGCGGGGGAAGGGCCUUGCCCGACUGUUGUGUAGGGGAAUAUGGUCGGGCGGUGCCUCUUAUUAGAGAAGGAUCAUCUUUGGCUUUGGAAGGGAUAUGGUGUAAAGACCUGGUUGUUCCGUGGAGAUAAUCGCAUAUAUGUCUUCAUGUUUGCCAGGUUUAUUAAGGAUCAUUAGAAAUCAAGGAAUAAAGAGGAUACCAAAUAAAAGCCACGUGCCCAUGGCUGGUUAGCCAUUUUCAAAUUUUCCUCACCUUACCACAUCACUGCUCAUGCUACAUCAUUCAAGAAGAGAAAGCAUGGGAGUCCAAAUCUAUCCUAAUACUGCACAGCACUACCAGUGUUCCAGAGCUUGAGAAAUAUUUGUCUUUGUGCUGUCAUCCCAGAAGAACCUGGGCCAGAUGGAACAAGAAUUUAAUUCCAAAGACCAUCAAUGAAGCUCCUUUGUAUCCUAAUGGGAUUUAAUGGGAUUUAAGAUUUAAGGUUUGUGGAAACAAAGAACUGGAAACUGAGGGUAUGUUCAUCAAUUGGGAAAUAUCUGAGCAAGUUGUAUUUUGUGAUUGUAAUGAAAUAGUACUGUGCUAUAAGAAAUGAUGAGAAAGAUGAUUUAAGAAAAACCUGGAAAGACCUAUAUAAACUAAUGCAAAGUGAAGUGAGAAGAACCAGGAGAAUAAUGUAUACAGUAACAGCAAUAUUAUAUAAUGAACAUUUAUGAAUAACUUAGCUGUUCUUGGCAAUGCAGUGAUCCAAGAAAAUCCUCAAAGACUCAUGAUAAAAAAAUGCCAUCUAUCUGCAAAGAAUGAACUGAUAGAAUCUGAAUGCAAGCUGAGACAUACUAUAUUUUAUUUUAUUGCUACACUUUUACUGGUUGAGUUCUCUUUCACAAAAUAUGGAAUAUGGAAAGCUGUGUUAACAGUAUUAGAUAUGUAAAAUUGAUAUCAAAAUUCUUGCCAUCUUAAGGAGGGGAGAAGUAAGGGAAGGAGAGCAGUGUAAUGGUUAAAAUUAUGGUUGAGACUGAAUGUAAUAAUUAUUUUGAUCACCAAGAAUCUUAUUUAUAAAAUCCUAAUGAAACACCCAAGUCAGCUGGAAAUUUUAUGGUGAUUUAAUUGAUAGUGGAGGAGAUUAAGGAGAAAGAAGAAGGAAAGGAGUAGGUUUUCUCCCCUCCCCCUCCCCCCCACCUGACUAGUACCGAGUGGUGAGUUUGGGAGAUAAGGUUUUGGAGUAUGAAGGAGGGAGGAGUCAGCUUGAACUCCAAAAAGGAAAGGGCUACUCCAAAAUUGUCAGAACGCCUAGCAAGCUUCCAGCCAGAGUUGCCUCUCCAGGGAAAGAGGAAGAGAGAGGAAGUGAUGUGCCUUAUAUAGACAGUUUUACAUCACUUUCCUGUGUCUCAUCUGUACCAAUGAUAGCUUAGCUUGACUUAGGAUAGCCCAGGGGUCUGUCCGCUUUUUCUGCAUAUGUCUGUUGAAGGCCAUUUCCUCAGAUAAUUAAAUCUUGAGUUUGGGGUACAGACCUUCCUAAUCUUGUUAAACUUAGGAGGGUGGAGAAAUGCAGGGUUCCCAAGACCUGAUUCUGUUAGUCCAAGUAUCUCUAUUGUUAUUGAUUAGGAAAUAGCUAAAUCAGAUCUUCUAAAGUAUGGUCUGAUUAGGGUGGAAUAGUUUUAAAAUUCACAGAAGGUGAAAAUUUGGCUCAAACCUUUAAAAAAUGAAAUAUAAAAAAAAUCAUGUUUUCACAUAACUGAAGAAAAAAAAAGAUUUAGAGCUAGAAGGAUCCUAAAGUUUCCUUCUGCUCUAGCUUCAGCCACCAUUACUACUAUGACUGGGAUAGGGCAGUCCAUCGCCAUUUCAUAGAAGAAACUCAGACUCAGAGAGGGGACUUGUCCAAGACCGAAAAUUACUGUCAGAGCUGGGAUUCGAGGCCAGAUUUCAUUCCAAAUCUUAGAGUUUGUCAGUAAGCAUUUCUUUUUUUUUAAUUUAAAUUAAUUAUUUUUUAAACCCUUACCUUCCAUCUUGGAAUCAAUACUGUCUAUUGGUUCCAAGGCAGAAGAGUGAUAAGGGCUAGGAAAUGGGAGUCAAGUGACUUGCCCAGGGUCAUAUAGCUGGGAAGUGUCUGAGGUCAGAUCUGAAACUAGGACCUCCCAUCUCUAGGCCUGGCUCUCAGUCCACUUAGCUAUCCAAUUGCCCCUAAGUAUUUCUUAAGUGCCAAAAAUACUGUGCUAAACAAACACUGAGACUACAAAAAAGGCCAAAGAUAAUCCAGUACAGGAGCUCAUUGUCUAUUUAAUAAGAGAGGCAAAAUAUGUACCAGCAAGGAUAAAUAGAAAAUAACUAACAGAAUGAAAAUAUUAAGAGCAAUUGGGAAGGACUUCAUAUAGCAGUUAGCAUUUUACUUGGGACUAAAGGGAGGGCAGAAGAUAAAGAAGGAGAGUAUUCCAGUCCUGGGGAACAGCCAGAGAAAAUGCCUGGAACUUAGAGAUAGAAUGUCUUAUUCAUGGAGAAGCAAGGAAACUAAUGUCACUCAAUCAAAAAAAUAUGUGAUAAGGACUAUAAGAAGAUUGGAAAUAUGGGUGGAGUAGGGAAUGGGACCUACAUUUAGCAAGGUUUCAUUGCCAAAGGAUUUUGUAUUUGUUCUUGGAGGUAAUAAAGAAUCAGUGGUGUUUAAGAAAAGAUACUUUGCUGGAGGAUGGCUUAAAGUAGGGAGAGACUUUUGUAUUAUACUCUUAAAUUUUUUUUAAUUUAAAAAAUUUUCAAUUAUUUUUAAAAAUUUAGAAUAUUUUUUCAUGGUUACAUGAUUCAUGAUUUUCCCCCACUCCUCUUCCCACCCCACUCUAGGAGUUGACAAGCAAUUCCACUGGGUUAUACAUGUAUCAUUCUUUAAAACCUAUUUCCAUGUUAUUUAUAUUUGCAAUAGAAUGCUCUUUUAACAUCAAAACCCUAAUCAUUCCACACUGAACUAUGUGAUCAGUCAUAUGUUUUUCUUAUGCAUUUCUGUUCCACAAUUCUUUCUCUGGAUGUGGAUAGUGUUCUUUUUCUAAGUUCCUCUGGAUUGUACUGGAUCAUUGCAUUGCUGCUAGUAGAGGCCCUGUGUACAAUGUUCUCCUGGUUCUGCACCUUUUGAUCUGUAACAAUUCCUGGAGGUCUUUCCAGUUCACCUAGAAAUACUCCAGUUCAUCAUUCCUUUCAGCACAAUAGUGUUCCAUCACCAAUAUAUACCACAAUUUGUUCAGCCAUUCCCCAAUCAAUGGGUACCUCCUCAUUUUCCAAUUUUUUGCCACCACAAAGAAUGUGGCUAUAAAUAUUUUUGAACAAGUAUUUUUCCUUAUGAUCUCUUUGGGUGUAUUAUACUCUUUAUCUUAGAUUUAGAUUCAGUCAUUGAUUCUCACCUUUAACUCAACAUCCCCUUAUCAUGACUGAACUUGACCCAACUGCUAUGUUUAAAGAUAUUUAUACAGAUGCCUGGUGGAGAGUGGAUAAAGUGGCCAUCACCAUUUCCACUGUCACAUCCUUUGUCCUGAGUGGAAAUAUAGGCAAUGUGCACAGGGCAUUAAGAUCCCAGGCAUAUCUGCCCAGCUGGAAAGAAGAAACAAAAAGAAGAAUCUAGAGUCACUCAGAAUCAAAUAUAUGGUCUCAGUUUCCUUUUUGACACCACUGGACUUUUAACCUCAGUACUGAAUUUUGUCCUUGACUUCAUGAUAGAGUAUAUGUGAAGCAGGAGGACUUCUCUCUGGAAUGGAGGAAUAGGAGGCAGAGUCAAGAUGGCAGCGUAGAGGCAGCAAAAGUUCAGACCUCUGAAAACUCUUCCUUACCAAUUACAAACUAAAUGCUCCUAGGGGACUGAAAAUCAAACCUAACAAUAAGACAGAGCCAAGGAACCCUUCUGCUGGACUCAACUUAAAAGGUACACCACCAAAAGCCAGAAUUCGAGAACACUCCAGUUUAAGGGGAAGGAAAAAGGAAAGUCCUGAGACCCUUCCCCCACCUAGAGUGCUAAGCCUCCAGUGGCAGCUGGAACCUCUGGGCUGGCAAAGGCACUGGUCCAGAGGGAGUACCUUGCAGGCAAAGCUGUGCCAGGUUCAGAGCAUCCAACACAGGUAGUGGGGAAGCAGUUAGAGAAGAAAUGCAGAGCAAGCAGCCUAAUUGUAGCAGGGGAGACACUCCAUAUCGCACCCCCCUUCCCGAGGUUUUGGCCUUAGGGCACAUCCAGCAACAUAGAUGGACUUAAUCCCAUCAAAGCCUCCAGAGGGCAGGGAAGCUCAAGUUCCAACACCCCUCCCCCACAGACUGUACUGAGAGAUUUACUGACAAAACUCCAAGGGUGAAGGUGGAACGAAAAGCCCAAAACCACAAAAAAUGAGAGGAGCAAGAGUUCAGGCAACAGCAAGGAGUAAAGAAGGGGUAAAUAUGAGCAAACAACAGGAAAAGAAAAAAGAAAUUACAACUGACAGCUUCUAUACAGGCAAUGAAAAAAGAGCAAACAGAACAAAGAAGGAUGAAGGAACUCUAAGCAAAAAACCCCAGCAAAUUGGAUACAGGCUCUGGAAGAACUCAAAAUGCAAUUCAAAACACAAUUAAAAGGGGCUGAAGACAACUGGGGAAAGAACUUAAAAACUAAGAUAAGUCAUCUGGAAACAGAGGCACUUGAACUAAAACAAGAAAAUAGUGUCUUGAAAGCCAAAAUCAACCAGCUUGAAAAUGAGGCAGAGGAGAUGAAAGAUGAGGCAAAGAAGAUGAAAGAUGACCUCCAAAGAAAAUCAGACCAGAAGGAGAAGGAUGACCAAAAAUCCAGGGAUGAAAUCCAGACUUUAAGAACCAGAAGACAACAACUAGAAACAAAUUACUUCACAAGGCAGCAGGACACUAUAAAACAAAAUCAACAGAAUGAAAAAAUUGAGGAAAAUAUGAAGCAUCUCAUUCACAAAACAGAAGAUUUAUAAAAUCGUUCCAGGAGAGACAACUUAAGAAUCAUUGGUCUACCAGGAGACCAUGACAAAAGAAAAAACCUGGACAUCAUACUACAGGAAAUUAUCCAAGAAAACUGCCUCAAUAUUCUAGAACAAGAGGGAAAAGUGGAGAUUGAAAGAAUCCACAGAUCACCUCCUGUACUUAAUUCUCAACUGACAACAACCAGGAAUGUUAUAGCCAAAUUCAAGAACUAUCAGACCAAGGAAAAAAUAUUACAAGCUGCUAAGAAGAAGUCAUUCAGAUACCAUGGAACCACAGUGAGUAUAACACAGGAUCUGGCUGUAUCUAGACUGAAGGACUGAAAGGUAUGGAAUAUGAUAUUCUGGAAAGCAAGGGAACUAGGUCUACAACCAAGAAUCAAUUACCCAGCAAAACUGACUGUAUUCUUACAGGGAAAAGUAUGGUCAUUUAACAAAAUAGAAGAAUUCCAAGCAUUUGUAAAGAAAAGACCAGACCUGAACAUAAAAUUUGAUGCCCAAGUACAGAUAUUUAUACAGAUGCCUGGUGGAGAGUAGAUAGAGUGGCCAUUCAAGAGAAUCAUCAAAAGCUAAUUAAGAAGGAGGGAAAAAAGAAAAACAAAACAAAACAACAAAAAAACCCUUUUUUAAAAAAGAGACCCAAUAAAUUAAAAUGAUAUGUAUCCUUAUAAGAAAA